GGAAGGGAGGGUGGGCAGCCAGCACCCUCCUUAUUUAUAGGAGCCGAAUGCCAAAAAUCAGGAGAAAUCUCAAACACUCUUGUGAGUGUUGGCCGCAUAUAUUAAACCAGGGGUAGGCAACUGAAGGAAAUAAAAGUUAUUCUUUUAAUAAUUGUAGAAAUGUAAUGCCAUUAUAUGAAACUGUCUCUUUAGUACAAAUGUAACACUGUAACACAAAUGUAACAAUGCAAUGUCAAUAUAUGACCAAAUGUUUACUAUUUCCUGCCUAAAAAUCCUCCGGACACCGGGAACUUACAUCAAAGAGGGGGAUUUUGACCCAAGGUGAGAAUUACAAAUAAACAAGAUAACAGCAGAUGGACAGAAGAGGUCAGGUUAACAAAGUACAACUUCAGAGUACCUCUAUAAAGAUGAAAGAGCUGCUUAGAUGUGACAUGCAUUGUCGGGGUAUAAAAUGCAGAUCUUGAAACCAGGCCAGUGUGCUCCUGGAAUCCAAUCCAUAGGGAAGGAUCCAGGGGGCCACGUUUGCAAAUGGUCCUCUCUUCUAUUCUUUUUCUUUUCUCUUUUAUUCUGUUUAUGUUAUUCUCCAAUAAACUUUUGUUUUGUUAACCAGACUUGUCUUUGUAUUGUGAGUAUCAAAAUUUGGGGGUUUUGCAUCUCACAAUCUUGGUGGAGAAUGCGGGCAUUAAGAGCUUCUAGGGGACACUGUUCUCAGUAAAAUCAGGAGCGCGCCUGUUGAUUUCAACUGCCUGGGGUUAUCUGAGAUCUAGUUUCCCUUUGCAGGCUCUGAGCCAAACUAAAUUGACAACUCUGGUUUACAAAAAUCAAAGGACAGGAAAUAGGAAGAAAGUCAACAACUGAAGCCCAGACCGGGUAACCCAGUGCACUGGCCCAGGUAAGGAACUUUUGCCCCGAAGGAGGGAAGCAUGCAAUUGUACCUGGGUGGUCAGGAGAGUGAUUGUGGGAGGGUUUCUGCGAUAAGGGCUGUGUGAGUGUGAUGGGCUGUGUUCUGGGAAGACUGGUAAGUCCAGAGGAGUGUAGACCUGAAAGGUUGAGAUCUCUUACUCCCGCAAGGGGGAAGGCCAGCGUGAAGGGAAGCAAACUGGUGUUAAGAGUUUUGAGUGGCCGUCAAAUCGAGAACCUCAGGGAACCAUAAUCAGGGAAACUCUCAAGAAGAUGGGUUGUUGUUAACCAAAGGAAAACCAAGACCUCCCGCAUGUGCUGAUUUUGUGGGUAUCUUUGUGGGUGUUGUUGCUGCUCUCACUGUAUUAAUUGUGUUCAGUGCACAGGGUAUGAGAUAGAGUGUGAUAUUAAGGCUUAGAAGAUGUAUUGGAACAUUACAAGGUGGUAUGUCUGGGGGAGGGGUUUUCUUAUUAUACUCUUAAAACCUGUCCAACCAUUAGAGUCAUGUAAGUAAUGUGUAAAAAUGACAAAGGGAGAAGGAGAAAAUAUACACUGACUCCAAGUAUGUUUAUGGAGUCUUGAAUACUGGUGGAAGAAGAAAAGAAAGAAGUUAUGCUAGAGUGGCAGAAGGGAAGGAAGGAAUGAAUAAUAAAGAAACAGGAAAGUUGUUUUAAGUUGGUUUGCACAGACUUGUGAAUUGCAUGCAUUAAGCAGGGAGACUGCCAUUAACGUGGUCAGCCCAAACGUGUGAAUUGUAUGCCUUAACACAAGCCUUAGAAUGUUGAAGGAAGAAGAAUGUACUAAAGAUGGGAGGUGGAUGUUGCAAGAUGGGAGAGGGAUGUUGAAAAGAAAAAAGAAAAAAACAACAACAAUGGCUAGAACACAGAAGCAGCCACUGAAGGGGGGUCGCAAGGGAUGAUUAAUAUUUUCUAAAACAGGAUGGUUGUAUUUAUACUUUAGUUAAACAAAUAUGUGAAAAAAUU